CCUACGGGUGGCAGCAGUGGGGAAUAUUGCACAAUGGGGGAAACCCUGAUGCAGCGACGCCGCGUGAGUGAAGAAGUAUUUCGGGAUGUAAAGCUCUAUCAGCAGGGAAGAUAAUGACGGUACCUGACUAAGUAGCCACGGCUAACUACGUGCCAGCAGCCGCGGUAAUACGUAGGGGGCAAGCGUUCUCCGGAUUUACUGGUUGUAAAGGGAGCGUAGGUGGCAGGGCGAGUCAGAUGUGAAAACCCGGGGCUUAACCCCGGGAGUGCAUUUGAAACUGGCCAGCUGGAGUGCAGGAGAGGGAAGUGGAAUUCCUAGUGUAGCGGUGAAAUGCAUAGAGAUGAGGAGGAACACCAGUGGCGAAGGCGGCUCACUGGACUGUAACUGACACUGAGGCUCGAAAGCGUGGGGAGCAAACAGGAUUAGAUACCCCUGUAGUC
rnacentral:rRNA from 1 species